rnacentral:tRNA from 2 species
CAAAUUGUUUUUUUAUUAUAA